GACAGAGGGUGCAAACGUUGUUCGGAAUUACUGGGCGUAAAGCGCGUGUAGGCGGCCCUGCAAGUCGGAUGUGAAAUCCCACGGCUCAACCGUGGAAGUGCAUUCGAAACUGCAGGGCUAGAGUCCUGGAGAGGAAGGUGGAAUGCUUGGUGUAGCGGUGAAAUGCGUAGAUAUCUGGAGGAACACCGGUGGCGAAGGCGGCAUCCUGGACCGGUAUUGACGCUGAGGCGCGAAAGCCAGGGGAGCAAACGGG
rnacentral:rRNA from 1 species